GAGAUGUAUCUUCCAACCAGAAAAGGAUUUAGAGGAAGGCUUUUCUCCUGGACCAAACAGGAAAGGUCCAUAUAAGCCCCCGUCCCUCCCUAGUCUGGGCUGUGUUCACUGUAUCACAGAACAGAGGUGCUGUCCAUCUGUCAGAAGCACAGCAUCUAACGGGGGAGUCAAAGCUGACCAAAUGGGGCCAGCAGGAGAGGUGCCAUGAUCGUGCCAAGGUUGAAUUCCUCUCCUACUGAUGUUCAUUCUUCUGCAGUUUUUACAGCAAGGGUUUGUGAAUGGUAAAUUCUCCCAGUAUUUUUUUUCUAAAAUUAUCAUUAUCUCACUUUUAUGUUUUGGAAUAGUUUGGAAAUUUUAAGUUCAUAGUUAUUUUCUCUCAGUCCUUUGGGAAGUCUCAUUUCUUUGUCUUUUGACUUCUUUGUUACUAAUUUUUUUUUGUUGUAAGUAAUCUGCUUCAUCUCUCUGGUUGCUUUUAAGAUUUUGUAAGAUUUCAGUUCCUUGAGUGUCAUCACAUAUGUUUAGAUGCAGAAUUGUUUUUUAACCUUUCUCAGUGUGCUUCUUCAAUCUGAGAACUCAUUACUUUCUUCAAUGCCAGAAAAAUCUCAGCCAUCAUUAUUUUGAAUAGUGCUUCAUGUCUUAUUCUAUCCAACUUAUUUUUCUGGAAAGCCUACCAUUUGUAUUUUGAUCAUUCUCAUUUUGUCAUCUAUAAAUGUUGACCACUCUUUGCUAUCAUUCUUAUUAUUUGCUGUAGUAUUCUGUGUAAUUUCCUCAUAUCUAUCAUCCAUCCCUCUAACUCUCUCUGCAAUUGUGUUUUUCCCAGCUGUUUAACCUGCGUGUUGAGUUUUAUUUCAAUGACUAAUAUUUCUACUUGGAUAUUUUACAAAUCUGCUUUCCCAAUGGAAUCAUAUUUUUAUUAUGGUUUUUAUGUUCUCUUUUGUCCCUUUAUCAUGUUCAGUGUACUUACUGUGUCAUCUAUUUUAGAUAUCCUAUUAUCAGAAGUUCUAAUUUUCCUUUUUGUUUUUGCUGACUCUUUUUCAUGGCUGACCAUUUCCUUGGGUGACUGAUUUUUUAAACUUAUCUUCCAUGGAGCUUGUUCUUCUGUGGUAGCCUCAUUCACCCUGGGUUGUGUCCUCAUAGGAGAGUUAUAUUUUUUUCUCUUAUGGUGUCUGGGAUAUCUUCAAUUUAAGAUCAAUUUUUAUGCAUUAAUUUAUCACUUGUGAUUCUUGAAUUGGUAGCAGAAAUUCAGACCCUUUUUUCCACCACAAUCUCAAGGUGUACUUUUUCUAGUCUAGUUUCCAAAUAGAAGGAGCAACUCUUCCAGGGACCCAUCUUUACAGAGAGGUUUCAGUUAUAGGUCUUCACCUUUCAUGGGUUCAAGGCCACAUUUAUUUUCUCCAGCCUGGGCAUUAUAACCCUUUUUAGUUAGCUGUUUGAUGUAUGUUCUCAUUUAAUGUCCCUUAGGUGUCCUUAGCAUUAGCCAAGUUCAAACUCUGGCUUUGAUUUCCCUAUUUAACAGCUUGAGGAUUUUCCGUUCCUCUAUUUUGAGCUUUGUUAUACUAAAAGCAUCAUUUUGUUAUAUCCUGUAUUUCUAAGUGUUUGAAGGAGAAAGCAGGUGCACAUUCCAGCAACUGAGCUUGCUUUUAAUGUAUUUGACAACUCUGUGAGGCAGGGAUAUUUUUAAUUCCUUUUACAAAACCUCACGGAACAUCUACAAUGUGCAGUGUUCUAAAUCCUGGGAAUACAGAAGUGACUAAGAUGUAGUCCAUGAUCUAAGUUACAUGCAAAUAAUGAUUACAAUUAAAGGUGAAAAUUUAUGAAAUAAAGGUAUGAAUAAAAUGAUACAGAGAGAAAAUCUGGCGCUCCAUUUUUUUCGAGGGUAGAACUGAAUUUCAAGCUAUUGAUAAUGACUUGCCCAGUUUCAAACAGGUAUUAAAGAUAGAACCAGGAUACAUGUUCCACUUUUCUAACAGAAAAUCUUGUGCUUUUUAAAGCAUAAAUAGCAGCUGCAGCUUCAAUGUAAGUGUUACUUUGUGAGCAGUGGGGGAGUUCACUUAGAGUGCUGGUUACAUAUCAGAUUUAUGAUGAAUAAACACUUAUUAAUUAAAUACUCCUCAGAGAGCCUUGCAUCUCUCACCCCGAGCCCCAUUUGAGAAAAAAAUUUUUUCUCUAAGCCUGAGCUUUCUCCAGCCACUGCUUUCAGAGCACCGAGGACAGAGAACUCAGGGGCUAAAUGAAGGUAGAUUGCAAACCAGAAAUUGGUGUUCCAAAAGUUCUGAAGUGAUAGAAGGCAACAGAAAAAGCCCUACUAGGAUGAGAAUUUAAUUCUAGAGCAGAGGCUUGAUAGAGUUUUAUAUUCAGUGGGAGGGAAGGAGAUAAUAUCUAGGACAGUUUAUAGCCUCACUAAACAAGGACUUCACAUUGAAAACAUGUAGAGAACCACAGCCAAGCCUCCUGCUGUUCCCUACUAUUGAGGAGCAGAGUCUUUUCAGAGACCCUACCUUAAUUUCCUGUCCAGUUGGCAGCCUUUGAAUUUUUCAAUAAGUUUUAUGUUAAAUAAUGUUGGGUUUUUUUCCUCUUUAAAUGCCAA